UACGUAGGGUGCGAGCGUUGUCCGGAAUUAUUGGGCGUAAAGAGCUCGUAGGCGGUGUGUCACGUCGGCCGUGAAAACCUGGGGCUCAACUCUGGGCGUGCGGUCGAUACGGGCAUCACUAGAGUUCGGCAGGGGAGACUGGAAUUCCUGGUGUAGCGGUGAAAUGCGCAGAUAUCAGGAAGAACACCGAUGGCGAAAGCAGCUCUCUGGGACGGUACUGACGCUGAGGCGCGAAAGCGUGGGGAGCGAACAGG
rnacentral:rRNA from 1 species